rnacentral:rRNA from 1 species
UUGAUCUCAAAUCAGGCAGGACUACCCGCUGAACUUAAGCAUAUCAAUAAGCGGAGGAAAAGAAACUAACAAGGAUUCCCCUAGUAACUGCGAGUGAAGCGGGAAAAGCUCAAAUUUAAAAUCUGACAGUUGUUCUGGCUGUCCGAGUUGUAAUCUAGAGAAGUGUUACCCGCGCUGGACCGUGUACAAGUCUCCUGGAAUGGAGCAUCAUAGAGGGUGAGAAUCCCGUCUUUGACAUGGACUACCAAGGCUUUGUGGUGCGCUCUCAAAGAGUCGAGUUGUUUGGGAAUGCAGCUCAAAAUGGGUGGUAAAUGCCAUCUAAAGCUAAAUAUUGGCGAGAGACCGAUAGCGAACAAGUACCGUGAGGGAAAGAUGAAAAGAACUUUGGAAAGAGAGUUAAACAGUACGUGAAAUUGCUGAAAGGGAAACGCUUGAAGUCAGUCGCAUCGACUGGAAAUCAACCUUGCUUUUGCUUGGUGUAUUUUCUGGCUUGAUGGGUCAGCAUCAAUUUUGAUCGCUGGAUAAAGGCUUGGGGAAUGUGGCAUCUUAGGAUGUGUUAUAGCCCUUGGUUGCAUACAGCGGUUGGGAUUGAGGAACUCAGCACGCCGCGAGGGCGGGUUUCGACCACGUUUACGUGCUUAGGAUGCUGGCAUAAUGGCUUUAAUCGACCCGUCUUGAAACACGGACCAAGGAGUCUAACAUGCCUGCGAGUGUUUGGGUGGAAAACCCAUGCGCGCAAUGAAAGUGAAAGUUGAGAUCCCUGUCGUGGGGAGCAUCGACGCCCAGACCAGACCUUUUGCGACGGAUCUGCGGUAGAGCAUGUAUGUUGGGACCCGAAAGAUGGUGAACUAUGCCUGAAUAGGGUGAAGCCAGAGGAAACUCUGGUGGAGGCUCGUAGCGAUUCUGACGUGCAAAUCGAUCGUCAAAUUUGGGUAUAGGGGCGAAAGACUAAUCGAACCAUCUAGUAGCUGGUUCCUGCCGAAGUUUCCCUCAGGAUAGCAGAAACUCAUAUCAGAUUUAUGUGGUAAAGCGAAUGAUUAGAGGCCUUGGGGUUGAAACAACCUUAACCUAUUCUCAAACUUUAAAUAUGUAAGAACAAGCCGUCUCUUGACUGGACCGCUUGGCGAUUGAGAGUUUCUAGUGGGCCAUUUUUGGUAAGCAGAACUGGCGAUGCGG